CAUAAUGUUGGGUUGAAAGAAAUGGAUGCAAUUAUGAAAAGUCAAGAUCAGAUAUUUGUGAUACAACCACCACAUAGAAGAAGACAGAGACAAAAUUAUAGUGUGUCCUUUUGUGUGCCCAAACAGGGGGCAGUCCUCUACCGUCCGAUGACUAUGUCCACAUCUCAGCGUAUGAAAACUGGUUGGCCAGACAAGCAUGCUAAAUUGCCAAUUCAACAAACAUCAACCAGAAACACCGAUGAGAAAAAUUGAAGGCUGAAAACAAGUCUGUCUGUCUCUGAGAAGCUGAAGCUGAAGUUGUGAUGCGCUGCCGUUGAGGUAAAAGGGAAUCUUGAACAAGUGGCGCAUAUUAGCUGGCAUGACCCCUAACGCCCAUCACUCACACAAAAAUAUAUUAAUGCAACAAAUCCAAACCCUCUAUAUAUAAACUACUGUGAUGGCAUCUUCCUUCAUCUUCAUAUCCACCAUACACACUUAGCCUUCUUAGAUCAUUGAAAACUAAAACAAUGAACAACAGGGUGAGGGUGGUUCGUGUUGCUCCGGCAUACGGUGGCAACAAGUUGGGAGGGAAAAAGCCACUUCCAAAAAGAGGGCAGAUCAAAUCAAAGAUUGCAGCAAAUGCAUUUCAUUCCAUCAUCUCUGUCAUCUCCAGGGCAGGAGCCUCUUCUUCAUCUGCCAUAAAUUCUCGAAGGAAAAGUUGAAAAUUGAAUCCAUUCCAAGUCCAUGCAUAAUUCAAAGAUAUUUCUUCACUUUCUUGCAUGUACGUAUGUAUAUUGUAGCUAGGCUAGGUACUAGGUAGCUACUUCAUUUUCUUUUUGCUUUCGGUCACUGUAAUGUCUCUUUUUUGGUGUGUUUUUGGACAUGGGCCAUUUCUUUGGUUUUGAGAUCUCUUUCUUUAGGGGUCCCUGGGUAAAAGAAAUUGGGCUUAUCUAGCCCAUCUCUGCAUCAAAACAAUCUAUAUUAAGAACUAUCGGGCUCAAGUCCAAAAAAAAAGUAUCGGGCUCAAGCCCCAACUAUAUGGACGUAAUUAGAUCUUAAAUAAAACGUUGUACUCUUUUAUG